rnacentral:rRNA from 1 species
AUUGAACGCUGGCGGCAUGCUUUACACAUGCAAGUCGAACGGUAACAGGGAGCUUGCUCCGCUGACGAGUGGCGAACGGGUGAGUAAUGCAUCGGAACGUGCCGUGUAGUGGGGGAUAACGUAGCGAAAGUUACGCUAAUACCGCAUACGCCCUGAGGGGGAAAGUGGGGGACCGCAAGGCCUCACGCUAUACGAGCGGCCGAUGUCGGAUUAGCUAGUUGGUAGGGUAAAGGCCUACCAAGGCGACGAUCCGUAGCGGGUCUGAGAGGAUGAUCCGCCACACUGGGACUGAGACACGGCCCAGACUCCUACGGGAGGCAGCAGUGGGGAAUUUUGGACAAUGGGCGCAAGCCUGAUCCAGCCAUGCCGCGUGAGUGAAGAAGGCCUUCGGGUUGUAAAGCUCUUUCAGACGGAAAGAAAUCGGUGUGUCUAAUACACGCACUGGAUGACGGUACCGUAAGAAGAAGCACCGGCUAACUACGUGCCAGCAGCCGCCGUAACAC